UUGGCGGCGCCUUCGCGGACUGUAGGAAAUCUGAGCUCAACCCACUUCAGGAAGGAAGGAUGAGUCGGAGGAAGCAGCAGAACUCGUUGUCUCCAUCCACAAACAUGAAGUUGGGUGAAAAUCCAGCCAGAUGACCUGAAGGCGUCCAGAUCAGACGAACCAGCAGAUGUUUGGUUCUGAGCUGCAGCAGAUGGAGUCACCAUCCAUCCACCAUCAACAGGAAACCAAGAAGCUUCAAAUCUUCCACCUGAGCCAAAACCAGACUGGAGCAGUUUGCUUUUAUUCAGCUGAAAACCAAAACCUGAGAGGCGGAGGAGCCGUUUCUAUCCCGUCUACUUGGUAUUAAACCUCUUGGAUGCUCCUGGACUGAAGAUCCAAUCAGAGGAGACAUUUCUUCAUGCUUCCAGUCUGCAGCCUGCCCCUCCACACUUACAAACCAAAAACAAAAUGUUUUUGAUUAUGAACACAAUAAGAAAUGGAGAUUUUAGGAGAUUUUCCUGAAGUUCUUAUGCAAAAUAUGCUCAUAAUAUCUACAAGCUUCAAACUAAGCUACCUACCUUUCUAAUACUGUGUAAAAUGGCUUAAAUGCCUUUUUUUUUUUUUUUUUACAAUUUAUUGCCAGAAUAAUCAAUAGAAUAAUCGAUUAGUCUUUAGCUGCAGUCCGUUCACUGAGCUGUUCUUAGUUUUGGUUCACCGUUUUCAGGAGAGUGAUUCCUCCGCCUGUUGGCCAAACGGUGCAUCAUAAUGGUGCAACGACAAAUAUGACACAUUAGUGCGUCUGGUUUUGCUGCAGGGACGUUUUUCUGUCCACCAAUCGAUGGCCUGCGCUGCGCGACGCCUGUAGCUUCAUCCUAACUUCUUCUUACAACGGAAAAAGAAAAUAGAGAACCGAACCGAUCCGCUCAGUGGAAACUAGGCACACAUUUCAAAUGUCAUGUUGGAAAUAAACUUCAUGAUCAAAACA